rnacentral:rRNA from 1 species
UACAGAGGUCUCAAGCGUUGUUCGGAUUCAUUGGGCGUAAAGGGUGCGUAGGUGGCGUCUUAAGUCGGGUGUGAAAUCUCGGGGCUUAACUCCGAAACUGCAUUCGAUACUGUGGUGCUCGAGGACUGGAGAGGAGACUGGAAUUCAUGGUGUAGCAGUGAAAUGCGUAGAGAUCAUGAGGAAGACCAGUGGCGAAGGCGGGUCUCUGGACAGUUCCUGACGCUGAGGCACGAAGGCCAGGGGAGCAAACGGG